rnacentral:rRNA from 1 species
UACGGAGGAUGCAAGCGUUAUCCGGAUUUAUUGGGUUUAAAGGGUGCGCAGGCUGUUUGUUAAGUCAGAGGUGAAAUCCCAUCGCUCAACGAUGGAACUGCCUUUGAUACUGGCAAACUUGAAUAUAGAUGAAGUGGGCGGAAUAAGUCAUGUAGCGGUGAAAUGCAUAGAUAUGACUUAGAACACCGAUAGCGAAGGCAGCUCACUAAACUAUUAUUGACGCUCAUGCACGAAAGCGUGGGGAGCGAACAGG